UACGUGGGGGGCGAACGUUGUUCGGUGUCACUGGGCUUAAAGGGUGCGUAGGUGGUUGUGUAAGUAACGUGUGAAAUCCCUCGGCUUACCCGGGGAAUUGCAUGUUAUACUGCAUGACUUGAGGACUAAAGGGGAAAAGGGAACUCCAGGUGUAGCGGUGAAAUGCGCAGAUAUCUGGGGGAAGGCCGGCGGCGAAGGCGCUUUUCUGGUUAGUACCUGACACUGAGGCACGAAAGCGUGGGGAGCAAACAGG
rnacentral:rRNA from 1 species